rnacentral:tRNA from 1 species
GGUGAGAUGGCCGAGUGGUCUAAGGCGCUAGAUUUAGGCAAUUUCUGUUAAACUCUAGUCAUUCGUGGCGUGGGUUCAAAUCCCACUCUCAUCA